GUUAGCUACUCUGUAACUUUGCCUCAAACAUUUCCAUGAAGAGAACCUUCCUCAGUGCCACGUACCAAGCCAUUCAAUCUGUUGUGGUAUGGCCUGGAAGCCCACAUCUGUGCCCUGUUGUGAAGGAUUGUUGCAGUUUGGAUACUGAAAUAGUUUGAGAGGUCUUUCCUGUAAAAGGACUGUGAAAAACCAAAAGGGAUCUUUGACCAUGCUUCUUGCCACUUCCAUUGGACUCAACAACUAUAUAUUUCUCCUAAUGAUAAAUUACCAGCAGUUUGCAAAUAAGGAAGCUGAAGAUCUGAGACAUAAUUCGCUUGCCCUGAAUCCAGUAGUGGAUGAACAGGAGAGCUGAGAUAGAAGCCCAGGUCUUCUGCCUUUCAGCUCACUACCUGUGUACUGCUUAAUAACUGGCUCCUAGUCCACCUGUUGUGAUUGCUCAGGUUGAACUUCGAACCUGCCAUACAAGAACUCUGUGUGUCAUGCUGAGACCACAUUCCCUCAACUUCUCUCUUCUGUCUGCGCCUUUGAAAAUAUUCAUAGUUGCUAUUAAGUUGUUCAUUAUUAAAUCAGUCAGUCACAAAGGAUUUCUGGUGUUUCUGUUACAUGCUGGGAACUGCUGUUGGUGCUUGAGAUGUUGUGAGAACAAAAUAUUAAUUUAUACUGAGAGAAGGGUUAGACUUAUCUUUAAACAGACCCCUCACUUCUGUAUUUAUAGGUUUUUUCUCCCAAGUAACAGAAAUCCAAUUUCAAAAUAAAUUUAAGGCAAACGGAUUGAUUUGUGUAACUGAAAGCUCUAUGAGUAGGGAGCCACGCCUUCAUGUGUGGCUGGAUGAGAAGCUUAAAGGAUGUCAUACAGCCUACCUCUCUUGCUCUUAUAAUCUGCUUCCACCACAG
rnacentral:lncRNA from 1 species